UCCUACGGGGGGCAGCAGUGGGGGAUAUUGCACAAUGGGGGGAACCCUGAUGCAGCGACGCCGCGUGGGUGAAGAAGCGCCUCGGCGCGUAAAGCCCUGUCAGCAGGGAAGAAAAUGACGGUACCUGAAGAAGAAGCCCCGGCUAACUACGUGCCAGCAGCCGCGGUAAUACGUAGGGGGCAAGCGUUAUCCGGAUUUACUGGGUGUAAAGGGAGCGCAGGCGGCACGGCAAGCCUGAUGUGAAAGCCCGCGGCCCAACCGCGGGACUGCAUUGGGAACUACCGGGCUGGAGUGCCGGAGAGGUG
rnacentral:rRNA from 1 species